GACAGCUGCUAUCUACCCUGGUUUUGGUCCUCAUCGCAUCCAGCUUCUUAGCCGCUAUGCUACACGCUACGCUACGUCGAGAUAACGAGAUAUGCUGCUCACAGAGGCGACUUCCCUGGAAGCCAUGUUAACACGAGAGCCGUUACCUGCUCCCGACGCCACGGGCCGUCAGGCGCCGUCAAAUCCGAUUGGCUGUGACCAUGACAACGGGAGCGGCACUUGCUGACUUUUCGGCAGACGUCAGGAAGCUGGAUCUUCCGGCCGAAUGUGAAUGGACGCGGAGCGAUUGAGGAUUCUGCUUCCCUGCUGAUUCGUGGUCUGAAAUGGGUCGUGCUCCAGCAAGCUACCGAAAAAAAUGAAGAACCACGCAAGAUGGAGGUUCUACUCUAAUGGCCAAGCACAUGCCUGAGGCAAUGGAUGCAAGUGGUCCUGCGUGGAAACAGUUGCGCUCAUCUCCUCACAUAUGGUGCACAAUCCCACAAUGCAAUGCAGGAUGGUGCCAACAAAUAGAAUGUCCUUAAUUACCAGGCCCAACAAAAGCACCGUCAACAAUGGCCGGUUGCUUGUUCCAAUCACAGGAGUUGGCUACAGUGCGAGUUCAUCCACAAUACAUCUCAUUCAGCCUCUGACCUUGAUUCUCAAAGAGCAAGGUUAGCUAAUGGAGACACAAGGUCUUCCCCCAAGAAUACGUAAAUAACUCCUGCCGAUUUCCGGUUAUAAUAUUAUUGCCGCCAUCUUGUCAGUUUGCCCGUGACACGUAGAGUGUGCCUUUAUGGGUCUCCAGGUAGCAUGCAUGUUUUUAAUGACGAGUAUAUUACUUUUUGAGUUACUUCCAUACAUUUUGCCCUUAUGGCCGCAUGUCCGUUUCACAAAUCUUCCAAAGCAGUUCCCGUUUUUGUGUGUUAUCCUAAGGGUUGUAGUAGUCUUCUUUCCAAAACGCCGCGCUCACGCUCGUACGUGACGACCGAGUGCACCUUAUAGGCACCAAUUCAUCAGGCCCCGUUGCCCCAUUUAAUAAGCUAAAGUCAAAUUUAAUUUAUUUUACUUGUAAAUCUUCCGGUAGAAUUAUGGCCCCUUAACAGCUUUGUGAUGAACCUUCGUGUUUUACUACGUCAUUUACUGCCAAGAAUAAAACCCUUUCAACCUUUCCUAGCUGGCAAGCAGAGUGAAACCGGGAUGCUUUCACUGCCUGACUACAAAGAAACAUGAAAACCUCAAGUCUUAAACCUCACUUUAAGGUCAUUAGGAUCCCAAAGGUCAUGGCUUCACCUCCCAAUAAGGACAUACAAUGUCACCCUUCCCUCAACUGUAAGUUGCUUUGGAUAAAUACAUCAGAUAAAAGCGUAAAUAUUUAAAUUAAUCAGCAGCAAUUUUUCUUUUUUAAAAUUGACUAUAAAUUAAUUUGAUCCUUAAUAUAUUAUGCAUAUAAUAAAACGUUAUGGAAAUGUAAUAAAAUUGUACAUUAAACAACUGGUCGAAAUAACAGUAAAUAAAAACACAAACAUUUAAAAAAUGCAAAAUAUAAAAAUUGAAAAAUUAAAAUUUGCAUGCCUAAGUACAUGUACUCAGUUAAAGAAACCAGAUCCAAAACCAAUUAAAAUGAACCACAAAAUA